CGACCACAAGCUUCUAUAGAAACCCUAAUCAAAUACUCUCUUUCAUGUUCUUCGUCUCUUCUCGAUCGGCGGAAACGGUGACGAUCCAAUAUCUGUAACGGAAGGCGUUGUGGAACUCAACCUAUUAAAAGGCUUGCUUGCCGCUGUUCUUCAACAAUCAUGGGUAAAGGUCCAGGACUCUACACUGAGAUGGAAAAAAGGCCAGAGUCUUUGUUAAGGUUUCUUAUUGAAAGUCAGGAACUCCCUUUCUUACUCCUAUAAGUCUAUCUCAUCAAAGGAGAUGGGUUCUGCGAGAAAAGAGUACGAGUUUCUGAGUGAGAUUGGGUUAAGCUCUCACAACCUUGGAAACCACGUUGGUGGUAAACGGCUAGGAAACGGACCUGUUGUUUCCACUUUGAAUCCUGCUAAGUUGAUGUUCUUUUUCUGUGUGCUGUGAUGAUUUUUGUUGGCAAACAUUACAAGUGGAACAAACACGGGAGAUUUGUUUGUGUGUGAUGUAGCUACCAAGUCAAAAACAAGAACUUCACUGCU